rnacentral:rRNA from 1 species
CGACUAGAUGUUUGAUCCUGGCUCAGAGCACGUUAGCGGCGCACCUUAACACAUGCAAGUCGCACGAGAGGGGGCAACCCUGAAAGUGGCGCACGGGUGCGUAACACGUAGAUAACCUGCCCUUCGUUGGAGGACAACGUUCCGAAAGGAGCGCUAAUACUGCAUACAGCAUCCUGGGGUUUGCUUCGGGAUGGCAAAGGCUGGGAUUCGCAAGAACCAGUCGACGAAGGAGGGGUCUGCGGCCCAUCAGCUAGUUGGUGAGGUAAUGGCUCACCAAGGCAAAGACGGGUAGCUGGUCUGAGAGGAUGAUCAGCCACACUGGUACUGGAACACGGACCAGACUCCUACGGGAGGCAGCAGUGGGGAAUCUUGGUCAAUGGGCGAAAGCCUGAACCAGCGACGCCGCGUGAGUGAUGAAGGCCUUCGGGUUGUAAAGCUCUGUGGGGCGAGACGAAAGCCUGCGUUCUAACAGGACGUAGUUUGACGGUAUCGCCUUAGCAAGCACCGGCUAACUCUGUGCCAGCAGCCGCGGUAA